ensembl:lncRNA
AAAGGUGUGUUUGACUUUUACGAUCGUCUUGGUGGUUUGCUCUUGAGUUUCUUUUAGAAUCCACGAAGCGUUAAAGCUUUCUGGCCAGCCUGAGGACUUAGAGGGGUCAGGAUAUGAAUUCAGCGGUUCUGGUUCAGGGGGUUCGCCAGACCAAGGUGAAAUUGAAAAUAUCAAUCAUCAACCCAACAGCAAAGGAGCCAAGAAUACUUGGAUUGUAUCCAUACAUGAAGAUGCACACAAAGACGGCGGAUCAGGAUUUGUCAUUGUGGCAAACAGCAAGAGUCCCUUAGAAAACAAAGAAAUCGUCACCGCUGUUGUCACGGGAGGAGUUAUAGGAGUGGCCGCUGCAGUUUUACUGGGAGCAGUGUUAAUCUACAUGUGGAAGAAAAAAGAUACCAGAGGAUACAUUCCGGGUCAACAACGGGCCUCAGAUGCAGUUUAUCAUGGACCCAACAGGGAGGUAGUUGUUGUUUAACCUUAAACUUGCACAGCAUGGUUUACGCUCUGAGGCCAAUGUCUGUAACUACUGCAAAGGGGGUAUUUGCUUGUUUUCUGGAGUGAAGGAUGGGAAAUGACAGUUACACUUGCACUUAAGGAAAUGUAGCUGUAGUUUUUUAUUUGAUAGUAUUUAUAAUUAUUAUGAAAUAUAAGAGCUCUUUAUUUACUAAUAAUCUUUAUUUAUUACUAACACAAAACAAUCAAAUGGGUAAAACCAGAUAAAAAUAAUAUAAAUAAAUCGAAUCAAAUGUGUUGCAUGUAAAAAUGACAAGAUUAAGCCACACAGCAAACGUUAGUCUUCAGAAGAUUGGUUGCUGUGACUUUGAAUUGCAGUUGUAUGAAUUGUACAGAAAAUAUUUAAGAGACCCUUUUUAUGGAAAGGAUUUUGGUGUCACAGUAUGAAAAUAGGUCUGCCAUUAAAUGUCAUUAUGGCAGCGCUGGACUUCACAAACUGUUACAACACAAGUUUGAGACUUCAGUCUUGUGUUCUUAACUAUUAAUCAAACUUUCCUAGACCAUAAAAAUAUUAUAUUGGAAUAAGUUAAUUUAGGUGAUGUUCCCCUAUUAGUAACAGUUUUUCUAAAACCAUGUCUACACGCCUUGUUUUACUAAAUAAAUAAUCCAUGUGAUGUGACAUAUGAAUGAAGAAUUUAAGGGGAAACUCAUGCGAGGGGUUUCCAAUGGAUGCAAUGAUGAUCCGCUGCUGAAAUAUAUGAUUAUAUUUAUGAUUUGAUUAUCGGGCAACGUACAACUUGGGCUAAUUGAUCACUGCAAUGUAGGUGUGGAUGUGAGCGUGGCUGGUUGUCUAACUCUAUGUGUAACGGCUAAUGGAUGGAUGAAUGUAUGCCAAGAAAUUCCAUGCACUCUGUUUAUAUUACAUGAUUGUUGAUACAUUUGCCGUACAACUUUUAACCCUUGCAUAUCAUAAUGAAAGGCUCUUGUGUACAUACCUUUGCACCUUGUGUGUUACACAAUAUAUAUAUAUAUAUAUAUAUAUAUAUAUAUAUAUAUAUAUAGCUAAUUUGAGUAUCGAUGAGUGAUUUUAUGUGGAAAUAGGUACUAUGUAUAAUCAGAACUGACAUAGAAUUAUCUGGGCAAUAGGGCAAUAAUAAUCUGUGGGCCCCUACUAAACCAGCAUCUGAUUCUCCUAUCAUCUUGCAUUUUGUGCAUUUUGUAUAUUUGUAUUAAUUCAUGGUAUUU